GCGUCGAUGGUCUAGUGGUUAUGAUUUGUGCCUUCCAAGCACAAGAACGGGGUUCGAUUCCCCGUCGACGCA
rfam:Pneumocystis jirovecii RT7 supercont1.15, whole genome shotgun sequence.